rnacentral:rRNA from 2 species
UACGGAGGGUGCAAGCGUUAUCCGGAUUUACUGGGUUUAAAGGGAGCGCAGGCGGGCUGAUAAGUCAGUGGUGAAAUCCCCGAGCUUAACUUGGGAACUGCCAUUGAUACUAUUGGUCUUGAAUGUUGUGGAGGUAAGCGGAAUAUGUCAUGUAGCGGUGAAAUGCAUAGAUAUGACAUAGAACACCUAUUGCGAAGGCAGCUUACUACGCAAAUAUUGACGCUGAGGCUCGAAAGCGUGGGGAUCAAACAGG